CCUUUAAAGAAAGCGUAAUAGCUCACUGGUCGAGGUUUUUAGCGCCUAAAAUGUAACGGGGCUAAAGUUCAGCACCGAAGCUGUGAGUUUCUUAUUUUUAAUAAGAAGCGGUAGGAGAGCGUUGUCAGUGCACUGAAUCUGAAAUGUGAGUUUUGGUGGAGCGCUGAGAAGUGAGAAUGCAGGCAUGAGUAGCGACAAUCGUGGUGAGAAUCCACGACACCGGAAGCCCAAGGUUUCCUACGCAAUGUUGAUCAUCGUAGGGUUAGUCGGGCCUAAGUGGUAGCGUAUAGCGAACACGAUGGACAUCGGGUCAAAAUUCCCGAACCGUUCAUGUUGUGUUUAAAAUAAAGGGGGGACGCAAGAAGGUAAGUAAAGCAUACCUAUUGGACAUGGUGUGUUUGUUUUUGUAGAUGAUGACCAGAUAGGUAAAUCCGUUUGGUAUUUUAGUUGAGGAAAACAAAAACUAGAGAGCUUAGCUCAAAGGAAUUUUGCUGAUCCUAUGUUGCCAAGAAAAUCCUCGUUAUUAAUAACAUGAGCGACCGUACCGCAAACCGACACAGGUAGGCAGGGAUAAGCGUCCCAAGGUGAACGAAAGAACCUUCGUUAAGGAACUCGACAGAUUGACCCCGUAACUUAGGGAGAAGGGGUGCCUGUUAUUUGAUACUGAUUUACUUAGUAAAGGGUAAUAGGCCGCAGUGAAUCGGUCCAAGCGACUGUUUAUCAAAAACAUAGGUCUAUGCUAAACCGAAAGGUGAUGUAUAUGGGCUGACGCCUGCCCAGUGCCGGAAGGUUAAGAGGAGAGGUUAGGAUUUAUCCAAAGCUUUGAAUUGAAGCCCCGGUGAACGGCGGCCGUAACUAUAACGGUCCUAAGGUAGCGAAAUCCCUUGUCAGGUAAGUUCUGACCCGCACGAAUGGCGUAACGACUUGGACAUUGUCUCAACGAAGGACUCGGUGAAAUUGCAGGACCAGUGAAGAUGCUGGUUACCUACGACAGGACAAAAAGACCCCGUGGAGCUUUACUGUAGCUUGGCAGUGAUUUAGGCUUAUAAACGUGUAGGAUAGGCGGGAGACUUUGAAGCUUUAACGCUAGUUAGAGUGGAGUCGCCCUUGAAAUACCGCCCUUUUAUAAUUUUGGAUCUAACUUUAUUUUUAUGAAGGACCCUGCCUGGUGGGCAGUUUGACUGGGGCGGUCGCCUCCUAAACAAUAACGGAGGCGCCCAAAGGUUCCCUCAAGGUGGAUUGGAAAUCACCUUUCGAGUGUAUUGGCAUAAGGGAGCUUGACUGUGAGACCUACAAGUCGAGCAGGGACGAAAGUCGGGCAAAGUGAUCCUAUGGUACCGAAUGGAAGGGCCAUAGCUUAACGGAUAAAAGCUACCCCGGGGAUAACAGGCUUAUCUCCCCC
rnacentral:rRNA from 1 species